AGUUGUUCUAUUACAGUCGUUGUGUUCAGGUGAGCUUUUCUGAGCCUCUAAGUGCGAAAGUUUAGUUAAACAAGCUUACAGGUUCGCCCCUGUGCUGUCUCAAGAUGGACUUAAGAAGCAAAAAGGAAAGAGUCCAAGGGGCGGCGCCACCCCGGGCCCAUUGGAAUACAGAAUAAUAAUCGCCAAAAGAAACGACGGGGUGGAAAAAUAUAAAUAGCUCAGCGUACCCCCGGACGGCGAUAUUAAAAUUUGUACAAGAAAAUACUCGAAAAGCCGUCUUGAAAUUUUGUUAAAAUAAAAUUAUAUUCAUCGUGAUUAUUCCGGCCGCUUUGUUUAGGUAUAUACUAAAAGGCUCUUGCCUCUGUUUGGAUGUUUGAAUUGCCUUUUUCAAAAGCCUCACUACGUCUUUUGAGCUUUUACAAAAAUACUUUCGGAUCGACAAAAGUUUUGACAAAGACUGAAAAGGUGUAGGUACAUUAAGGAGACAGUAUUGUUAAUUUUAAAAUGGCAAUGAUGAGAACUAUAGACAAGAAGAGUCACAAGUCGGAGAUACAGUUAAAAUUACUAUUAAGGCUUUAAACCUUUGAGGUCCAGAGUCUACACGUACUGGACAUACAUUAUGUAGUGUACUCUUACAUUAGUCAUAUAAUUGCAAAGUUUAUAAUCUCAAGUUUUUUAUUGUUUUAUAUUAUUCUCGGCAUUUCGAAUACAUUAAAGUUUUAGUUUAAUGAUCGUAAUGAAGUACUUUUAAUAACAUAUAUUCAAUGAGUUUUUUUUUUAAAUAAAACAAACAAUCAUUUUUUUUUAUUGCUAGAUGGAUGGACGAGCUCAUAGCCCACCUGGUGUUAAGUGGUUACUGGAGCCCAUAGACAUCUACAACGUAAAUGCGCCACCCACCUUGAGAUAUAAGUUCUAAAGUCCAUGUAUAGUUACAACGGCUGCCACACCCUUCAAACCGAAACUCAUUACUGCUUCACGGCAGAAAUAGGCAGGGCGGUGGUACCUACCCGCGCGGACUCACAAGAGGUCCUACCACCAGUAAAAAGUAUUUAUUCAUAACGUAAUGAAAAUGUAAACUUAUCAAUGCUUACACGUUCGAGGGUUCCUUUUUUUAAAGACAUUAUUAAUGUUUUUAGGUAACAAAAAAAUACUCUCAUCCUUUUCAAUAUAUUUCGAUAAACGAUAAUAUUUACAAAAGUAACAAACACACAAACAUUCAUGUCACACAAAAAACUCUCUUAAAUCUGUUCAAAAAGUACAAGUGAUGCAUGAAGUCAAGUGAAAGUAAAGUAGCGCGAACCGUAAGAGAAAAUCGGCCAAGUUAACACUUUGAACAACUUAAAUCGCGUUAAACUUUAGCUUAGCUCUAUUGUAGCGUUAGCAGAGAAAAUUCAUUGGCAUAAAAUAAUAUUAAUGAUUACAAUCGAAAGAAAAACAACACGAUUGUUGUUACAUGAGUUCUGAUAGCCCUGUCGAGGAUACUAGGCACAAUUACUUUAAUUAUUGUUCCUUUUAAAGGUUGGUAAAAUUUGUUAAAAUCAUUCAGACAUUCGAAUGUUGAAUGAAACUGAAUUAAAAGAAUCAGUUGCAUUCAUAUGACGUGCAGUAUAUGCUCCACCCGAUGAAAGUAGCUUUCAUUGGUUAUGGACAUCGGCAAUGUCAGGGCACAAUCGUUUAUCGAAUCCUACAUCCAGCGCGCUCUCUAGGCACGAGAAUCUCGCAGAAGGUUUGGCUCUAUCCCGAAAAAAAGGGCGCAACAAUUGCUGUCGCACUGUGUGUGAUAUAAUUAUUAAUUUUCAAUAAAAUUCACGGUAAAUUUACAUUUAUGCACAAAACAUAUAGUUAGAUAUAAUAAGUAGCACUGACUUCUUUAUGUUAUCAAAACUUUGCAAACGAUAAAUUUUCAUUACCUAUUAUAUCAUAAUUUAUUUAUUUAUUUAUUUAGACACACCAAUAGCAAUACACACAAAACAUUCAAGCUUAAAAUUAACAUGUAUAAAUAAUAUAAUAAUAAUAUAUAUUAAUCACUUCUUCUUAAACUUAUUUUGAUGGCUGUAAUGCUUACGACUUGAUAUAGAAGAUCAUUAUACAUUAUUAAAGAUUAACUAAACUGUUUGUCCGACGGUACGUAACAUCCUAUACAAAAAUUCAACCACCUGUUGAAUCACGUUUGCAAUGAAUACACAUAAGAUAAUUUUUUUGUUGGAAAUCUUUACCACAUAUUGGAUUAAAAAAACAUGCGUGAAUGCUCUGUAUGAUCUAUAAGUAUCUAUAUAUUAAUACGUGAAGCAAAAACUUUGUAUACCUUUUUAAGAAAAUUGCGCGGACGGAGGAGUAUGAAAUUUUCCACACUUAUAGAGAAUAUAGAGAAGAAGUGCACAAUGCUAAUUUUUUUUUUAAAUAAUUCAUAAAAGAUACAUUAAAUCAAUAAAAAAAACAUUACACACACUACAUGUAAUGUAUUUGACGCACACACGCAUGCAUACCUACUAUUUAUUGUCAAACUUAUGUUCUUGACGUCUGUUGUCAAAUUGAGAAUAGAUUAAAUAUUGUUUGUCUUUGUUAAUAUUUUUUAUAAUGUAGUCUUGGCGAAAUUUGUGAUUAUAGAAGUAUAAAAUACAAUCAUAAUAGUGUACAAACUUACAAUUCCAAUUAAUUAUAGUCGAAUUUCGACUACUGCGGGACCUCAAGUAUUUAUAAUUAUGUAGCAUUCUAUGCGAAUUAAAAUUCAAAUAUGACUACUUAUUAUUGUUAUAACUUAGUCAUUUAUUAAUAAUUAUUAUUACUUGUUUACUACUAUUUGGUUAUUUUAAAUGAUUACUAUUUGAUGUUAGUUCCACCAAUAUAUAUUUUAAAGUUAUACUACGCCUUUGCGUAGUACCUACGAUCAAAGUUAACACAUCUAUAAAUAUACAUGCAUAUAUGUAAACUUGUACAAUUCUAAUAGAAGAUAAUAGUUUAAAAUUCAAAAUUCUUGUCUAUUACCUUAUGUAGUCUGAAUGGGACGACUUUUGGCAAUGACGUCACAAAUUCAUUAACUUUCGUGAAAUGAUUUUUAGAUUGCACUGUUAAAUCGUUAAAUAAAUAUGAUACUGUGCUUUCGCUCAUUAGAACGUUACCGUUUUCGUGUUAGCAUUUAGGAAAACAUGCGAGAAUCAAUCUAUUUUCAAUGAAGACGAAUAAACAAAUUAAACUUGUA